rnacentral:rRNA from 1 species
UACAGAGGUCUCAAGCGUUGUUCGGAUUCAUUGGGCGUAAAGGGUGCGUAGGCGGCGCGGUAAGUCGGGUGUGAAAUCUCGGAGCUUAACUCCGAAACUGCAUUCGAUACUGCGGUGCUUGAGGACUGGAGAGGAGACUGGAAUUCAUGGUGUAGCAGUGAAAUGCGUAGAGAUCAUGAGGAAGACCAGUGGCGAAGGCGGGUCUCUGGACAGUUCCUGACACUGAGGCACGAAGGCCAGGGGAGCAAACGGGG